UUUGUGCCCCCACAAUGCUGUGAAAACGUACACAGCCUUCUGCGAAAUGUAGGCGAAGUGUGGGUGGGACUUGUUUCAAUAGUUGUAACAAUAUAAAAGUACUCUCGGGAUACAACAUGGUCAGAUGGAACAAGAACUAUGAUGAUAAUUCUUCUGUGCUUCGCACUACCCAGAGAUCAAAACGUAAUGUAGCAGCUGACUGCUGCGAUUCGUAUGCUUGUGAUAAUGAUCACCCUGUAUAACUAUCUGGUCGCCGUGAUGUAUGGAGCCCGCUCCCUAAAGGCGUCCAGUGAAGAAUGCCGCCGAGCUUCUUAGAAGAAUCUUAGGAAUAUGCCGUCUUAAUGGUGUAUUUAAAGUCUUGCCACAGAGGUGAUUUUAUUUGGAAAAACAAGUUCACGUAUGACAUAGAAAGUGAUCGUUUGUUGUAACUCCACCUGAGGUGUAAAUAAAUUAAACAAGUUCUUAAUUUGAAAUACGAUUUUUGAAUUAAGAAUCUGACCGAAUUUAUUAAGUACAUCAUUACUUAUGUUUCUUUUACAUGGGCCGUUAGGAAUAGUUUGUUUAAGAAAAAAAAACAUUUUU